AGAGUUUGAUCCUGGCUCAGGACGAACGCUGGCGGCGUGCCUAAUACAUGCAAGUCGAGCGGACCGAACGAGGGCUUGCUCUUGUUUGGUCAGCGGCGGACGGGUGAGUAACACGUGGGCAACCUGCCCGCAAGACCGGGAUAACUCCGGGAAACCGGAGCUAAUACCGGAUAACACCGAAGACCGCAUGGUCUUCGGUUGAAAGGCGGCCUUUGGGCUGUCACUUGCGGAUGGGCCCGCGGCGCAUUAGCUAGUUGGUGAGGUAACGGCUCACCAAGGCGACGAUGCGUAGCCGGCCUGAGAGGGUGACCGGCCACACUGGGACUGAGACACGGCCCAGACUCCUACGGGAGGCAGCAGUAGGGAAUCUUCCGCAAUGGGCGAAAGCCUGACGGAGCCAUGCCGCGUGAGCGAAGAAGGCCUUCGGGUCGUAAAGCUCUGUUGUGAGGGACGAAGGAGCGCCGUUCGAAGAGGGCGGCGCGGUGACGGUACCUCACGAGGAAGCCCCGGCUAACUACGUGCCAGCAGCCGCGGUAAUACGUAGGGGGCGAGCGUUGUCCGGAAUUAUUGGGCGUAAAGCGCGCGCAGGCGGUUCCUUAAGUCUGAUGUGAAAGCCCACGGCUCAACCGUGGAGGGUCAUUGGAAACUGGGGGACUUGAGUGCAGGAGAGGAGAGCGGAAUUCCACGUGUAGCGGUGAAAUGCGUAGAGAUGUGGAGGAACACCAGUGGCGAAGGCGGCUCUCUGGCCUGCAACUGACGCUGAGGCGCGAAAGCGUGGGGAGCAAACAGGAUUAGAUACUCUGGUAGUCAAGGGCG
rnacentral:rRNA from 1 species